GAGGGUAUAGCUCAAUGGUAGAGAACACGCUUAGCAUGCACAAGGUCCUGGGUUCCAUCCCCAGUGCCUCCA
rfam:Camelus ferus unplaced genomic scaffold scaffold597, whole genome shotgun sequence.